CUCGUAGGCGGCCAACUAAGUCAGACGUGAAAUCCCUCGGCUUAACCGGGGAACUGCGUCUGAUACUGGAUGGCUUGAGAUUGGGAGAGGGAUGCGGAAUUCCAGGUGUAGCGGUGAAAUGCGUAGAUAUCUGGAGGAACACCGGUGGCGAAGGCGGCAUCCUGGACCAACACUGACGCUGAGGAGCGAAAGCCAGGGGAGCAAACGGGAUUAGAUACCCCGGUAGUCCUGGCCCUAAACGAUGAAUGCUUGGUGUGGCGGGUAUCGAUCCCUGCCGUGCCGAAGCUAACGCAUUAAGCAUUCCGCCUGGGGAGUACGGUCGCAAGGCUGAA
rnacentral:rRNA from 1 species